AAUUUGACCUCAAAUCAGGUAGGACUACC
rnacentral:rRNA from 1 species